rnacentral:rRNA from 1 species
UACAGAGGUCCCAAGCGUUGUUCGGAUUCACUGGGCGUAAAGGGUGCGUAGGCGGUCGGGUAAGUCUGAUGUGAAAUCUCACAGCUCAACUGUGAAACUGCAUUGGAUACUAUUCGGCUUGAGGUCUGGAGGGGGGACUGGAAUUCUCGGUGUAGCAGUGAAAUGCGUAGAUAUCGAGGGGAACACCAGUGGCGAAGGCGAGUCCCUGGACAGGUCCUGACGCUGAGGCACGAAAGCUAGGGGAGCAAACAGG